rnacentral:rRNA from 1 species
UGGGCGCAAGCCUGAUCCAGCCAUGCCGCGUGGAUGAAGAAGGCCCUAGGGUUGUAAAAUCCUUUCGCUAGGGAAGAUAAUGACGGUACCUAGUAAAGAAGCCCCGGCUAAUUUCGUGCCAGCAGCCGCGGUAAUACGAAAGGGGCUAGCGUUGUUCGGAAUUACUGGGCGUAAAGCGCGCGUAGGCGGCCUGCCAAGUUAGGGGUGAAAUCCCGGAGCUCAACUCCGGAACUGCCUCUAAAACUGGUAAGCUUGAGGAUGUGAGAGGUGAGUGGAAUUCCGAGUGUAGAGGUGAAAUUCGUAGAUAUUCGGAAGAACACCAGUGGCGAAGGCGACUCACUGGCACAUUUCUGACGCUGAGGCGCGAAAGCGUGGGGAGCAAACAGGAUUAGAUACCCUGGUAGUCCACGCCGUAAACGAUGAGGGCUAGUUGUCAGGCGGCAUGCCGUUUGGUGACGCAGCUAACGCAUUAAGCCCUCCGCCUGGGGAGUACGGUCGCAAGAUUAAAACUCAAAGGAAUUGACGGA